GCCGGUGGGUCCGCUGCUCGGGGCUCGGGGCGUUCCGCGGAGCUCUGUCAGGCCUGAAGUGCGAGUUCCUGGACAGUUUGGUCUCUGUCUUGUGCAGCGACUCCAGCUCCCUGGUCAUUUGUGUCCUUGGAAGCUGGGGGCGAAGGCUAGAGCAAAGCCUAGCUGAACGGGACUUUUUUUCUGUGACAGCUUGCACUAGGCCCCAAAUCCCCCUCUAAGUGGACCACAAUGAAUCACUCUUACAUUGAUCUUCAGGCUGCUGGCUCACAGUGUGAAAUCCAUUUGCAUUGUAGUUUUGGAAGUCCCAUUCCAUGGUUCACUAAGGAGCUGUGAAUUAUGUCACCAACAUGGAAGGUGCUCAUGUACCCCAGUGUUUGCAGGACGUUGUUUGUCUCCUCUGUAACCUGCAACAAUACACUCUAGGAAGGAGUAGAAAACCUACUGGCAAAGGAGUGCCCUAAGAAUCUCCUUUCAAGUCAGAAGACGGCAAGUUUUGCCAGUGGGUGGCACUGUGAAAUAGACUUGAGAGGAGCAGCCGAAAGGAAAAGCAAGCGGUACAGCAAGAAAAAGACAAGACAGGAGAAUAACUGUUGGAAAUCAAAUACUUCUGACACAUUUACAGAAUUUAUGGGUUUUCAAUAUUUGUUUACUGUUUUCAUUUCACACUUUCCACGUUACAUAUUGCAUUGUGAAACUGCUGUGUACUGCUAUCAGGAAAUAAACAUUUUGGAACAUA